UAUUGCACAAUGGGCGAAAGCCUGAUGCAGCAACGCCGCGUGCGCGAUGAAGGCCUUCGGGUCGUAAAGCGCUUUUCGGGGAGAUGAGAAGGACAGUAUCCCCGGAAUAAGACUCGGCUAACUACGUGCCAGCAGCCGCGGUAAAACGUAGGAGUCUAGCGUUAUCCGAAUUUACUGGGCGUAAAGCGCGUGUAGGCGGUUCGGUAAGUUGGAUGUGAAAGCUCCUGGCUCAACUGGGAGAGGUCGUUCAAUACUGUCGGACUUGAGGGUGGUAGAGGGAGGUGGAAUUCCCGGUGUAGUGGUGAAAUGCGUAGAUAUCGGGAGGAACACCAGUGGCGAAAGCGGCCUCCUGGACCACACCUGACGCUCAGACGCGAAAGCUAGGGGAGCGAACGGGAUUAGAAACCCCGGUAGUCCUAGCCGUAAACGAUGUAGACUUGGCGUUGGUGGGGUAAAAGCCAUCAGUGCCGAAGCUAACGCGAUAAGUCUACCGCCUGGGGACUACGGCCGCAAGGUUA
rnacentral:rRNA from 1 species